UUUCUCGAGUAGUAGUAUUACCAUCGAAUCGAUCGCCUUUAUCGUUACGUCGAAUACGAGAAACCCAAAGUUUCCCAGGAAUUUGAAUUCGAAUCACCGUAUCAUACCUUUCAACGAUUAGACGUCCAAGAACGAGUCCUUGAUUCGCUCGAACCAUCCAAUCUCGCAUACACAAAUUUCAUCCGAUCGAAUCGUUCACAACGUAUUAAAAAAAAAAAUUCACGAAUCCAUACUCCCUUUCGCGUGAAAACUAUCCUUGGACGAUAUAACGAUUGGUUGGAUGCGAUCGAGAGCGAAAGAAGGCAUUUCGAUCGUAUAUUAUAAUAUAUAUAUAUAUAUAUAUAUAUCCGAAAGUCGAGUGGCGACCUCGUUCGAAGCGAGAAGAAAACACACCUUUGGUCGCGUAACUGGCAUUUUGGCAGUUAGCUUCGUUAUAUGGCAUGCACACGCGAUAUCACUGGACGAGAAUAAUUUUAAACUCGUCGUUAUAGUUCGUGUAUCGGCAUCGGCGACAAAAAAAAGCGUCGCCGCGAACGAGAGGCAAUUCGUGCGUGACGAAGAACAGUGCAAAAUGCGAGGCACAAGGAUCGAAGUCACGGUUGUUUUUUUUUUUCUUUUCUUUUUCUUUUUUUUUUUUAAGGCUUCGCUCGUCGCGAAACCAUACACUUGGAAUCGCGCUAAAAGCGAGAAAUCUCUUCGCGGCGUUUACUUAUUAUUGCUGUUCGUUGCUGCUGCUGCUGCUGUUGCUGCUGCUGCUGCUGCUGCUGCUACUACUACUAAGGCCCUAGUAGCACAGCAUAGGUUUUUUUUUUUCCUCCCCUCUAUGCGUGGAACGAUCCUUCCUCUGGGAAAAAAAUAUCUUCGUCGUAUGCUCGAUCGUCCAAAAAUGGAUGUCACUCUCACUCUCUCUUUCUCUCUCUCCCUCUCAAACUUGGAAUAAAAAAA